rnacentral:rRNA from 1 species
CUGCAGUCGAGCGGACAGAUGGGAGCUUGCUCCCUGAUGUUAGCGGCGGACGGGUGAGUAACACGUGGGUAACCUGCCUGUAAGACUGGGAUAACUCCGGGAAACCGGGGCUAAUACCGGAUGGUUGUCUGAACCGCAUGGUUCAGACAUAAAAGGUGGCUUCGGCUACCACUUACAGAUGGACCCGCGGCGCAUUAGCUAGUUGGUGAGGUAACGGCUCACCAAGGCGACGAUGCGUAGCCGACCUGAGAGGGUGAUCGGCCACACUGGGACUGAGACACGGCCCAGACUCCUACGGGAGGCAGCAGUAGGGAAUCUUCCGCAAUGGACGAAAGUCUGACGGAGCAACGCCGCGUGAGUGAUGAAGGUUUUCGGAUCGUAAAGCUCUGUUGUUAGGGAAGAACAAGUGCCGUUCAAAUAGGGCGGCACCUUGACGGUACCUAACCAGAAAGCCACGGCUAACUACGUGCCAGCAGCCGCGGUAAUACGUAGGUGGCAAGCGUUGUCCGGAAUUAUUGGGCGUAAAGGGCUCGCAGGCGGUUUCUUAAGUCUGAUGUGAAAGCCCCCGGCUCAACCGGGGAGGGUCAUUGGAAACUGGGGAACUUGAGUGCAGAAGAGGAGAGUGGAAUUCCACGUGUAGCGGUGAAAUGCGUAGAGAUGUGGAGGAACACCAGUGGCGAAGGCGACUCUCUGGUCUGUAACUGACGCUGAGGAGCGAAAGCGUGGGGAGCGAACAGGAUUAGAUACCCUGGUAGUCCACGCCGUAAACGAUGAGUGCUAAGUGUUAGGGGGUUUCCGCCCCUUAGUGCUGCAGCUAACGCAUUAAGCACUCCGCCUGGGGAGUACGGUCGCAAGACUGAAACUCAAAGGAAUUGACGGGGGCCCGCACAAGCGGUGGAGCAUGUGGUUUAAUUCGAAGCAACGCGAAGAACCUUACCAGGUCUUGACAUCCUCUGACAAUCCUAGAGAUAGGACGUCCCCUUCGGGGGCAGAGUGACAGGU